AGGUAAGCUACUAAGAGCGAAUGGUGGAUGCCUUGACUGGUAAAGGCGAUGAAGGACGUACUAGACUGCGAUAAGCUACGGGGAGCUGUCAAGAAGCUUUGAUCCGUAGAUUUCCGAAUGGGGCAACCCAAUGUAUAGAGAUAUACAUUACCUAUAUAGGAGCGAACGAGGGGAAUUGAAACAUCUUAGUACCCUCAGGAAAAGAAAUCAAUAGAGAUUGCGUCAGUAGCGGCGAGCGAAAGCGCAAGAGGGCAAACCCAGUGCUUGCACUGGGGGUUGUAGGACUGCAAUGUGCAAGAGGUAAGUUUAGCAGAACAUUCUGGAAAGUAUAACCAUAGAGGGUGAUAGUCCCGUAUGCGAAAAACAAACCUUAGCUAGCAGUAUCCUGAGUAGGGCGGGACACGAGGAAUCCUGUCUGAAUCCGGGUCGACCACGAUCCAACCCUAAAUACUAAUACCAGAUCGAUAGUGCACAAGUACCGUGAGGGAAAGGUGAAAAGAACUGAGGUGAUCAGAGUGAAAUAGAACCUGAAACCAUUUGCUUACAAUCAUUCAGAGCCUUAUGUAGCAAUACAGGGUGAUGGACUGCCUUUUGCAUAAUGAGCCUGCGAGUUGUGGUGUCUGGCAAGGUUAAGCAAACGCGAAGCCGUAGCGAAAGCGAGUCUGAAUAGGGCGCUUAGUCAGAUGCUGCAGACCCGAAACGAAGUGAUCUAUCCAUGAGCAAGUUGAAGCUAGUGUAAGAACUAGUGGAGGACUGAACCCAUAGGCGUUGAAAAGCCCCGGGAUGACUUGUGGAUAGGGGUGAAAGGCCAAUCAAACUUCGUGAUAGCUGGUUCUCUCCGAAAUAUAUUUAGGUAUAGCGUUGUGUCGUAAUAUAAGGGGGUAGAGCACUGAAUGGGCUAGGGCAUACACCAAUGUACCAAACCCUAUCAAACUCCGAAUACCUUAUAUGUAAUCACAGCAGUCAGGCGGCGAGUGAUAAAAUCCGUCGUCAAGAGGGAAACAACCCAGACUACCAGCUAAGGUCCCUAAAUCUUACUUAAGUGGAAAACGAUGUGAAGUUACUUAAACAACCAGGAGGUUGGCUUAGAAGCAGCCAUCCUUUAAAGAAAGCGUAAUAGCUCACUGGUCUAGUGAUUUUGCGCGGAAAAUAUAACGGGGCUAAAGUAAGUACCGAAGCUGUAGACUUAGUUUACUAAGUGGUAGGAGAGCGUUCUAUUUGCGUCGAAGGUAUACCGGUAAGGAGUGCUGGAGCGAAUAGAAGUGAGCAUGCAGGCAUGAGUAGCGAUAAUUAAUGUGAGAAUCAUUAACGCCGUAAACCCAAGGUUUCCUACGCGAUGCUCGUCAUCGUAGGGUUAGUCGGGUCCUAAGUCGAGUCCGAAAGGGGUAGACGAUGGCAAAUUGGUUAAUAUUCCAAUACCAACAUUAGUGUGCGAUGGAAGGACGCUUAGGGCUAAGGGGGCUAGCGGAUGGAAGUGCUAGUCUAAGGUCGUAGGAGGUUAUACAGGCAAAUCCGUAUAACAAUACUCCGAGAACUGAAAGGCUUUUUGAAGUCUUCGGAUGGAUAGAAGAACCCCUGAUGCCGUCGAGCCAAGAAAAGUUUCUAAGUUUAGCUAAUGUUGCCCGUACCGUAAACCGACACAGGUGGGUGGGAUGAGUAUUCUAAGGCGCGUGGAAGAACUCUCUUUAAGGAACUCUGCAAAAUAGCACCGUAUCUUCGGUAUAAGGUGUGGUUAGCUUUGUAUUAGGAUUUACUCCGAAAGCAAGGAAACUUACAACAAAGAGUCCCUCCCGACUGUUUACCAA
rnacentral:rRNA from 1 species